rnacentral:lncRNA from 1 species
UUCACACCGCGCCGUUGCAGAACGUUGGAGCCUCUCAGAACUCUAGAAGCUGCCUACCACCACGCACCCUAAGAUAGGGGCAUAUCUGUGUUAGUCGCCUGCACACAUACUGAAAUAUGGGCAUAUCCACCAUGUAUUCUUCUCUCAGUUAUGUUAGAUAAGGCUUUUACUCUGUCAUUUACUGAUCUGGUCUGUUUUUAGCUCCAUUAGCUUGUUCACAAGCUUAUCUUAGAGAAGGCGUUAUGGCUUUUCUCAAGAUUAUAACAUUUCUGAAUAACUGUUCUACAUAGGCAUGGUACCAUCUUCAUCAUGUAGCCUGGGAUGAGCUGGCACCAUGAAAUAAUUCAAGUGGUUAAAUCAUGCAUCUGCAGAAAUAUUGUACUCUCAAAUGGUGGGUUGCUGCGUCACGGGAGUUUGGGUGAAGGCCUGAAGGAUGUGAUGCAAAACGUC